UACGGGGGGGGCAAGCGUUGUUCGGAAUUACUGGGCGUAAAGGGUUCGUAGGUGGCUUACUAAGUCAGACGUGAAAUCCCUCAGCUUAACUGGGGAACUGCGUCUGAGACUGGCGAGCUUGAGUGCAGGAGAGGAACGCGGAAUUCCAGGUGUAGCGGUGAAAUGCGUAGAUAUCUGGAGGAACACCGGUGGCGAAGGCGGCGUUCUGGACUGUUACUGACACUGAGGAACGAAAGCCAGGGGAGCAAACGGG
rnacentral:rRNA from 1 species